AGAGUUUGAUCCUGGCUCAGGAUGAACGCUGGCGGCGUGCUUAACACAUGCAAGUCGAACGAUCCUUCGGGAUAGUGGCGGACGGGUGAGUAACGCGUGGGAAUCUGCCCUCAGGAGGGGGAUAACGGCUGGAAACGGCCGCUAGUACCCCAUAUGCCGAGAGGUGAAAUGAAUUUCGCCUGAGGAUGAGCCCGCGUCUGAUUAGCUAGUUGGUGGGGUAAAGGCCUACCAAGGCGACGAUCAGUAGCUGGUCUGAGAGGAUGAUCAGCCACACUGGGACUGAGACACGGCCCAGACUCCUACGGGAGGCAGCAGUGGGGAAUUUUCCGCAAUGGGCGAAAGCCUGACGGAGCAACGCCGCGUGAGGGAUGAAGGCCUCUGGGCUGUAAACCUCUUCUCAAGGAAGAAGAACUGACGGUACUUGAGGAAUAAGCCACGGCUAAUUCCGUGCCAGCAGCCGCGGUAAUACGGGAGUGGCAAGCGUUAUCCGGAAUUAUUGGGCGUAAAGCGUCCGCAGGCGGCCUUGUAAGUCUGUUGUUAAAGCGUGGAGCUCAACUCCAUUUAAGCAAUGGAAACUACAAGGCUGGAGUGUGGUAGGGGCAGAGGGAAUUCCCGGUGUAGCGGUGAAAUGCGUAGAUAUCGGGAAGAACACCAGUGGCGAAGGCGCUCUGCUGGGCCAUAACUGACGCUCAUGGACGAAAGCCAGGGGAGCGAAAGGGAUUAGAUACCCCUGUAGUCCUGGCCGUAAACGAUGAACACUAGGUGUCGGGGGAAUCGACCCCCUCGGUGUCGUAGCCAACGCGUUAAGUGUUCCGCCUGGGGAGUACGCACGCAAGUGUGAAACUCAAAGGAAUUGACGGGGGCCCGCACAAGCGGUGGAGUAUGUGGUUUAAUUCGAUGCAACGCGAAGAACCUUACCAGGGUUUGACAUCCUGCGAAUCCCUUGGAAACGAGGGAGUGCCUUCGGGAGCGCAGUGACAGGUGGUGCAUGGCUGUCGUCAGCUCGUGUCGUGAGAUGUUGGGUUAAGUCCCGCAACGAGCGCAACCCACGUCUUUAGUUGCCAGCAUUCAGUUGGGCACUCUAGAGAGACCGCCGGUGAUAAACCGGAGGAAGGUGUGGAUGACGUCAAGUCAUCAUGCCCCUUACAUCCUGGGCUACACACGUACUACAAUGCUACGGACAAAGGGCAGCAAGCUCGCGAGAGUUAGCAAAUCCCAUAAAUCGUGGCUCAGUUCAGAUCGUAGGCUGCAACUCGCCUACGUGAAGGAGGAAUCGCUAGUAAUCGCAGGUCAGCAUACUGCGGUGAAUACGUUCCCGGGCCUUGUACACACCGCCCGUCACACCAUGGAAGUUGGCCAUGCCCGAAGUCGUUACUCCAACCCUUGUGGAGGAGGACGCCGAAGGUGGGGCUGAUGACUGGGGUGAAGUCGUAACAAGGUA
rnacentral:rRNA from 1 species